GAGAGGUGGAAUUAGAACCUUUACCGGGGCAGGAUGGAGUACACUAACACCAGACAGAGAACCAGGUGGAGAGGUGGAAUUAGAACCUUUACCGGGGCAGGAUGGAGUACACUAACACCAGACAGAGAACCAGGUGGAGAGGUGGAAUUAGAAUCUUUACCGGGGCAGGAUGGAGUACACUAACACCAGACAGAAAAUUAGUUAAGGAAUAUUAGGAUAAGUCUCUCAAGUUCAGUAGAUUAGUAGAAUAGUUGAGGACUAUAAAAAGGAAACCUAAAACAGCAAGUCUAUCACAAAUUAUUGAACCUGACCCUUUCAUACAGUCAGAAAAAAAAAUAGAGAAA